rnacentral:lncRNA from 1 species
AUGAGACAACUGGUUGAAAGGUCAAAGGUGAAAGGUAAUAAGCCAUUUUGGGCCUGUUCUUUUGUGGAGCCUUUGGCUGCCUUUCCGACUGAGGUCUUGGAAAUAGUUCACACACGGGCCUUUUGCCAGAAGACUACUGAGAAUUGGCUCAGACAAAAGUCAAGCAUUAGAGAAGAGAUUGAAAUAGAAGAGACUGAAGUCCCGAAAAGAAGAGCCACAUAUAUGAAACCCUGCGGAGAUUCUAGCUUAAAUCCAUGUGAUAUAAUCACAAAUGGAAUUUCAAGAAACAUUUUAUGUAAGUUCUGACCUUGAAAUACCUUGUAAUCCUAAGAAGUUUGGACUUUAUCCUGAGGGCAAAGAAAUGACAUAAACAGGUCAUUCCAGCUGCAGUGUGAAGAAUGGGUGAAGUAGGGCAAACUGGAGGCAGUGACACAAAUUAGGCACCUUGAUGAGAGCGGAUAAUGACCUCAAGUAGGAUAAAGGCCGUGGGAAUGGAGAGAGAAGUAGGUGAUUUGAGAGAAAUUUAGAUGAUAGAAUAAAUAGGACUUGGUGACUGACUGAAUAUGAUGG